rnacentral:tRNA from 4 species
GGGCGAUUAACUCAGUUGGUCAGAGUGUCUCGUUUACACCGAGAAAGUCGUGGGUUCGAAUCCCUCAUCGCCCACCA